CUUGCUGCUGGGGCUGCCCCAAAAACUGUGAGCAAAGGUUUUGUCCAGCUGUCAGUGACAUUUCAUCCUCGGGAGCAGCUUCUCACCCAUCAGUGUACCCAGGACUGGGUUCAUCACGUGAAGCUGAUCCCAGCCUGGAACAGAAAGGUUCCUCCUGGCCCUGGGGUAACGACUUGCUCGUGUGCUUCACCUCUGUCUUCCUCUCUGACCUUGAGGGCAGUCCUGCUGCCAUCAGCCCUGCAGGUUUAGGGACAUCAGCACAGAGCUUUUAGCCAUUUCUGCAGCACGGAUCGUGGGCCACAAGGAGCUGGACUUGGUGGGCACCUUGUGCACGGCUGCCACGGAUCCCAGACGUGCCUUCCUCUUUGAUUCCUUUUUGGUGAAGGUUUGCUUCUUUCAGUCAAAUUUAAGCUUUGUUUGUAGCAGGCUCCCUCCGGAGAACAGGUGGGCAGAGGAGGUGCUGACACGCAGAAAGCACCAGCCUGCAGGUUUUCCUUCGCCCUGCUUGCAGCGCUGCCUCCCCCCUUGGAGCCUUUUCUCCUUCCCCCAGAGGUUUGUCAGCAGGAAGCUGUGGCUAAGCAGGGCCACAAUAUUCAUCUUCCCUCCUCCAGCCGGUGUUGGGGUGGAGAUGGAGGAGUAAAACCCUGCUGCUCCCUUCUGAUUGUGCAGGGCUCUGCACCGCAGUUCUUUUUUUGUGCUUUCCCCCAUUAAAAUACUGGGACGCUCGGCACAGCUGAACACCCAGCCUGGAUCUCUCCGCAGGGUGCUCCAGCAUCAAAAUGCACUUGGGAUGGGCAAAAGGGGCUUCACCAGGCUUGCUUUUGCCUAGAUGAGCAGAACCUGCUCGGGUUUCCCUUUGCUCUCUGUAAAGACGGAGCUGAAGCAAGGGCUGCGGCUCCGUGAGAGGUUUGGCGUCGCCCCGAGACCUGCCAAGAGUUAAUGCCCUGAUUACAAAACCAGGGGAUGCUUGGCACCAGCUCAGCGGUUUAGCAAGGACACAUCUGAAGCAGAAAUCUUGAUGAAGUUAUUCUAGGGAGAAGGAAAUGAUGCAACAAGGGACUUGUCCAUUUGGAGGAAGUUGGAUUUCCGUCGAGGGCGUUAUCUAACCUACCUUGCUUGGCUUUUUUUUAUUUCUUAAAGACUUUUCUGGCCUGUGCAAGCCAGCGCUCAGCUGCUUCAGGGUCGGGGAGAGCACUUGUGGGUCACCUUCAUCCUUGGCUUGAGGGCAUCUGCCUGGUUUGCCCCUGCUCUGUUGAUUUCCCCCUGAAAUCUUUGAUCUGAGGUCAAUUCUUCCAAUUUCAGGUGUUUCCUAGCAAAGACCCCAGGCAGGGCCAAGCCAGCGGGCAGACAAUGAAGGAAGCAGCAGUGACAGCAGAUGAUGAGGAGUGAAAACAGGAGAAAGGGGUCACAGCUGAGUAGGAAGGGUUGCUCACUCGUGAUAAGCAUCGACCUUCCAGGGCGCAGGCUCGUGGUUUGCCUCCUCCUUGUCGCACGGGUGGGGUGGAUGCGACAGCUCCUGCACCUGAAUUUGGCACCUUCACCUUCAACAUCCAGCCCUGAGGUGUGCUCCGGGGGAUGGAAACAAACGUUGGCCCCGCGUUUCCUAUCUGCAGCUGGACUUUCGUGGCUUCUCAUUUCUGUAGCUGUCGGGGAGGGUGGGUGGCCAACAGCGACAGCUCUUUCCACCCUCCUUUUGAGUCAGCCCGCGAGCACAUCAGAGCGCAGCCUGCUCCUGCUCUGCUGGCAGCUCCUCGAGGCAGUGAUAAUGAGAAAUGGCAGCUUCGCAACUCGAGUGGCAAAAUCAGCUUCUUUUCUCCUGCAGGCAGGGCUGCUGCACAGAAGGAGCUGGGCUCUGCUCUUGUCAGAGCAGGGGAGGUGAUGGGCGAUGCUGGCUGCUUUCCUUCCUUCUCUCUCUUUUUUUUUUUUUUUUUUCUUUUGGGGGAUGCAGCCAGGAGAGAUAAAGGGUGCAAAGCCUGCAGUGGCACUUCCCAGCCCCACAGGCAGCUGGCUGAGCCUGGGGAGCUCUUGCAGGAAGGCGCUGGGCGCAGUCCCGGUGAUGGGAUGCUCGGUGGGCAGCGUUGGCAGCCUGCAGCCCUUCCACGGGGAGGUUGGAGCGGAGAAACAAAGGAACUUUUUCCACUUUCUUCCUCUCUUUCAUUAGCCAGGCAGAGGCUGAUUCAAUUAGGUGCAAAACAAAAUGCCAGGAAAAGGAUGUUUGCUGUGCGGAGCGACGCUGCUGUCGCAAAGCUGCUUGCCUAUCUCUUGCAGCCUUUUGUUUUGCCUCUUCCACAGAUGAAGUGAUUCAGAGAUUCUGCUCCGAGAGUGGGAAAUCCCAAGGGCUAGCAGGAGAGGAGUGAGGAGCAGGGGGUUUUGGCUGGAGAGUGGCUUCCUUUACCUAAAUCCCAUGAGCCGGUGACAAUCCUCGGCGCCUGUCGUCUUUGGCCAGCAUCUUGAGUGCCAGCUGAGCCUCGGGAUCAGGCCCCUUGUACCAACGAGGUUUUCAAGAAGCUGGAAAACCUUUUUAUUAGCUGUUAGAGAGCUGCUUUGUGCAGAUGGUGUGCUGGAGCAGCCCCAGUGCGGCAGGAGCCAGCGCGGUGCCCCAGGUGAGCUCUCGCUGCUGAUCUGCGCCCUGAAUCUGCUCCUGGACAUGAAAUGUGUCCCAGCAGGGCUGUGCCUUCUGCCACACCAGCGUGAAUGCCACGUGCCCCUGCCAGGAGCUGGCAUACGGCUCUGGGAGGAGAAGGAACAAGGGUCUGGGGGGUGCUGGGCUCCCCUCAUCCACUGGGGGCUGGCUCCGUGCGCCGCGAUCUCCGGCUCCUUUUGGUGACCUCAGCCCUGGGUCUGCACGGGGGCCGUGCUCCCCCCUGGUGCAGAGGUCGGGAUGGGGCUGCUCAGCUCUCGCCCUCGUGGCAGGAUCCCCUGGAGGUGCUGCUGGUGUCCUGGCUCCCCAGGAGGAUGAUGCUCAGGGAAGCAGUUGGCUUUUCUAGCAAAGCUGCUGGCCCUUGGUGGCUUCCAGCUGAGUGACAGCAGGGACAAUGCGAUGCUCCAUCUCUCACAGCUCUGUUCUGGUGUCACCUGGCUGUGUGGCUGUGGUUUAACCCAUGGCCAGCAGCUCUCUUUUCUUCUUCCAUUAAGCCUGGUCUCUCUCCCGCUCUACUUCCAUCCUCUCAUUGAACCAGGCACCCUCAAAGCCUUGUGCUGCAGUCCUGAGGCUCUGGAGCUUAUCGCUAGGUUCCUUCUUGCUUUUGUGCUGCGGAUUUGGCUUAAAAAUGCAGCAAGCCUGGCAGGCUGGCCAUCCAUAUGGGGGACCAGUGAGUGUGUUCCAGCGAGGCACCGCUUUCUGCUUGGAGAAGCACGGGCUGCGAAGCGGCAAACGGCGCAUUUGGGCUAGCGGGGGGACUCGGAGCAGGUUGAGCAACGCUGCUCAUUUAAGCAACCCAGAACUGGUAUUGUUGUGUAAGGGGAAGAGUGGGUUUUAAAAAAAAAAAAAAAAAAAAAAAAAAAAAAGAAAGCGGAGAUCGGCCUUUAUGAAAAAAAAAAAAUCUCACUUCUUCAAAUCCAUCUGUUCUGGUGCUCCUGUGGGCAGCGC